rnacentral:rRNA from 1 species
UACGAAGGGGGCUAGCGUUGUUCGGAAUUACUGGGCGUAAAGCGUGCGUAGGUGGUUUGUUAAGUCUGUUGUGAAAGCCCCGGGCUCAACCUGGGAAUUGCAGUCGAUACUACUCAGCUAGAGUAUGGGAGAGGGCAGUGGAAUUCCCGGUGUAGCGGUGAAAUGCGUAGAUAUCGGGAGGAACAUCAGUGGCGAAGGCGGCUGCCUGGCCCAAUACUGACACUCAGGUGCGACAGCGGUGGGGAGCAAACAGG